CGGGGUUUCACCAGGCUGGUCUCAAACUCCUGAUCUUAGGUGAUCCACCUGCCUCGGCCUCCCGUAGUGCUGGGAUUAUAGGCUUGAACCACCGUGCUUGGCCCAGGAGUUGUAUUCUUGAUCUAGGUUUAAAUGUAAACCUACACUUGGCCUAGGUUUUAAGUAAAACCCUACGUGUUUUUGCCUAUGUAAAGGUCUGUUAGGACAUUGGAAAGUUGUGCAGGAUAUGGGACAGUUCUUUCUAGUGUGACCUGCCCUGAAUACUGCAGGACAUCCACUAUCCCUGACCCUGCCGGAUAAUGCAAGUAACACCCCAGCUCCAACUGUCAUGAUGAUGAAAAAUGCCCCCAGUAUUGCCAAAGUGGCCCUUAGAAGCUGGUUUUUCCCUUCUUGAAGAGCACCGAAGCCUUUUUGAAGAAGGAUGCCACCUAUGUGUCAUCUGGAUGCCUAAUAAUAGCACCCGGCACUGAGUUGGGUUGGAGGUAGCUUCCUGACUCUGUUGAACCAAGUCUUUAAAGCCGAUUCUGUUAAGCCAGGUUUGUCUCGCCAGCACAUGAUGAAGGGUUGUUGCUAUGGACUGAGCCUCCAGGAUUCUAUCUGUGAUGGUGUGACUGGGGCCCGUGACAGAGGACAGCACAGUGGCUACGCCAAGGGCUGGAUAACACAGAGAUGCCCUCUGGGCCAGCACCCCCAAGUGCCAUGUAUAUUUCCAGAGCAUCUCUAAGUUUCCCCCAUUUGGCUGUGAGACCUCAUCCACAAGGCCUUCUCCUACCUCCUGUGAUGAUCUCUGGGGUCGCCACCGCAUCAGUGCCUUCACAGCAUUCCUUGGAUAUGGCAGUGCAUGGCUGGGCUGGCUCAGCUGAGAACAGCUGUCCACGCGGAACAGGAACCCAUUGGAGGCAGCACGUAUUCUCGGCUGCUCUGGUGAGAGUGGUGUUUCCAGAUUCUGGUGGGCCUCCCUCUCCAACACAGCAUACCUGGCUGACCUCCAGCUUGGCCCUGGAGGGGUUUCCCUCCUCCCUUUUUCUCCACAGCUUCAUUUGAGAGUGGGAUUCAGGAGGACUCUCCUCCACCAGCAGCUCACUUCCUGUUUGCAUUGUUCGGAAAGCCAGGCAAGAUCUGGGGAUAAGUAACCCCUGUCCCCCACAUUUACAGCUCUGAGGAUUUUCUAAAAGGCUGAUCAACAAUCUGAUUCCUGGGGACUCUGCUCUACUCUCUAAUUUCAGAAAGCAUGUUGCACUGUGGCCCUCAGCUGGGCAUCCUGCCCUUAGAGUCCUGUCUCUUGGCAUAUCCUAGGUCUCAGCUAGGUGGCGGCUUUCCUCUGCUUCUGAAGGUAAACAAUAGUAGCAGAGGGUAGAAGCCAGCUGUUCCUUGCCCCCAGGCCUCAUUUCUAGGGUUGGCACUCCAUGAUGGCAAGAGACAUUAUCUCUGGCAGACAGCAGAGGGUGGCAGGGGACUGAAGAUCUCAUUUUGCCCAUUUAUGCGAUUCCUCUCCGGCCCCAGUCUUAUUUCCUGUCUUGUUCCCACCUUCUGCCUCUGUUCAUGUAUAGGCUUUAGCACACGGCAGACAUUUAGCACACGGCAGACAUUUGACAUUCUGCAACUCUGCAAGAUGUUCAGUUUCCUGAUUAUUGAAUACCUAGACCUUCUUAAUAAGCCUGAGCCUCAUUUCCAUUCUCAUUUCCAGUAGGCCAGCUUGAACCAAACCAUAUUGCUAUCAUAAAGAAGCUUACUAGAAAAAUAAAGAAAUGGGAGAGGCUAUAGUGUGUAGGGAUUUAUACUGCAUAAUAACACUUCAAAGAAAUUAAGGAAGUGAUUACUGUAAAAGUCAGAAUCAUUGUUAAUUUGGGCGGCAGAGACUGGACUGUGGGUGGCCUGGAAAAGUUCUAUUUCUUGAUUUGCAUGCUGGGCUCCAAGGGUAUUUAGCUUAUAAUAAUUCAUCAAGCUAUGCAUUUUUGCAUACUGUGUAUAUAUGUAUUUAUUUUCCAGUAAAAAGUUAAACAAUCCAAUCAAAAGGCAGAGAUUGUCAGGCUGGAUUAAAAAUCAUGACCCAAUUUUAGAUUCUAAGAAACUAGUAGGUUGAAUGUAAAAUAAUGGAAAAAAAGACGUAGCGGGUAAACAACAACCACAAGAAAGUAGAAGUGGCUAUAGAUAUGCACCUAAUACUGAAACGUCAAAACACACGAAGCAAAAUGGACAGAAAGGCAAGAGAAAGAUAAUUCAACAAUCGUUGGAUACUUCAGUACCUCACUCUCAAUAAUAGAUGGAACAACCGGACAGAAGAUUGCUGAGGAAAUAGAAGACUUUAAUAAUACUCUAAACCAACUAGACCUAGCAACAUCUAUAGAACAUGUCACCUAACAACGGAAUAUAUACUCCUCUCAAGUGCACAUAAAACAUUGUCCAGGAAAGAUCAUAUGCUAGGGCAUAAAAUAAACAUCAAUACAUUAAAUAGGGUAGAAUAAUAAAAAGUGUGCUCUUCAGUCACAACGAAUAAAAUUAGAAAUCAAUAGCACAAAAAAUCAGGAAACUCACAAAUAUGAUAUAAUAUUCCUAAAUAAUAAAUGAGUCAAGGAGGAAAUAAAAAAACUAUUCAGAAAGUGGCUGGGCGCGGUGGCUCACACCUGUAAUCCCUGCACUUUGGGACUCUGAGGCGGGUGGAUCACCUGAGGUCAGAAGUUCGAGACCAGCCUGACCAAUAUGGUGAAACCCUGACUCUAGUAAAAAUACAAAAAUUAGCUGGGCAUGGUGGCCUGUGCCUGUAGUCCCAGCUACUUUGGAGGCUGAGACAGUAGAAUUGCUUGAACCCGGGAGGUGGAGGGUGCAGUGAGCCGAGAUCACACCAUUGUAAUCCAGCCUGAGUGACAGGGCAAGAUUCUGUCAAAAACAAAAACAAAAACAAAAACAAACAGAAAAAAGAAUUCAGAAACUACUUUGUGGUAAAUGAAAAUAAAGAUCAAUAUAUCAAAAAUUUAUAGGAUGCAGCUAAAGCAAAACUUAUAGGAGAAUUUAUCAUUGUAAAUGUCUAUAUUCAGAAAGAAGAAAAAUUAAAAAACUUGUAUGUAAAUGUUUCAAGCAGCAUUCUUCAUAAUAGCCCAAAGUGGGAACAACCCAAAUGCCAUCAACUGACAGAUGAACAAAUGUGCUAUAUGGUACAAUAGAUUGUUAAUUGGCCAGAAAAGGGAAUGAAGUACUGAUACCUUCAAAAGCAUGGAUGGAUCUUGGAAAUGCUAUGCUAAGUGAAAGAUGCCAGUCACAAAAGAAUAUACAUUAUAUGAUUCCAUUCAUGUGAAAUUCCAGAACAGAGAAGUCUACAGAGACAGAAGGUGGAAUAGUAAUUACUUAGGGCUGAGGGAGGACGGGGAGGUGGAUACAGGGAUAAUUGCUAAGGGUAUGAGGUUGCAUUUUGAGUUGAUAAAAUGCUCCUAAAUUGACUGGGGUGAUAAGUGCAAAUAUCUGUGAAUAUACUGAAACCAUUGAAGUGUACACUUUAAGUGGGUGACUUGGUUGGUAUCUGAAUUACAUAUCAAUAAAGUUGUUUUUUAAAAAGUUAAAAAGUGUUUAGAAACAUUGCUGUAAGUACCUUUGAAUACACAUGAGUCAGACAUAUUUGGGAGGAUCUGUAAAUUCAGAUUUAACCAAUAUAAUAAUAUUAAACAUUAAAAGUUUAGUUUUACUCAUCUUUAUCCAAUGUAAACUGUAUUUUAUACUAAUACUAUAAUAGAAUAAGCUCCACUUUUUAUAUUUAACGUCUUCAGCAUUUUCUAAUAUUUCAAUUCAGUUUUUGUAAUUAGCUAUUUUAAAAGUCUGUCUACAAUUUCAAGGAGUGAAUUUGCUGAAGUUUAUGUAGUAAUUCUCCCUAUCCCCUGUAAGAAAUUGUCAAACCAUUUUCCAAAGUGGUUGUACCAUUUUGCAUAUCCACCUGAAAUAUAACAGAGUUCCAGCUGCUCUACAUCCUCAUCAGCGCUCUAUGUUGUUAGCUUUUAAAAAGCUAUUCUGGCCAGGCACGGUGGCUCAUGCCUGUAAUCCCAGCACUUUGGGAGGCCAAGGCAGGUUCGAGACCAGCCUAGCCAAACAUGGUGAAACGCCGUCUCUACUAAAAAUACAAAAAAUUAGCUGGGUGUGGUGGCAGGCGCCUGUAAUCCCAGCUACUCGUGAGGCUGAGGCAAAAGAAUCCCUUGAACCACAGAGGCAGAGGUUACAGAGGCAAAAAAGUCACUUGAACCCCAGAGGCUGAGGUUGCAGUGAGCCAAAGUCACGCCAUUGCACUCCAGUCUGGGCAACAAGAGUGAAACUCCGUCUCAAAAAAAAAAAAAAAAAAAAAAAGCUAUUCAGCUAUUCUAAUAGGCGUGCAGCAAGAUCUAAUUAUAGUUUUGAUCUGCACUUCUCUAAUUAUGCUGAUGAAUAUCUUUUUAUGUGUUUAUUUGCUACUCAUAUCUUUUUGGCUAAAUAUCUGUUCAUGUCUUUUUCCAGUUUUUCUAAAAGUUGGCUAAUUUGAUUUCUUAUUGAAUUGUGAGAGUUUUUAAAAUCCAUAUUAUUUAUACAAGACCUUCAUCAGAUAUGUGAUUUACAAAUAUCUUCCCCCAGUUUGUUGCUUGUCUUCAUUGUCUUAACUGUAUUUUUAGAAGAAAAGACUUUUAAAAUUUUUGUCUAAUUUAUUAACUUUUAAUUAAUUAAUUUUGCUAAUUUUGUUUUCAGGGACUAUUUUUGUGUGGCAGGAAAUAGGGAGAUAUUGAAGAAUUUUGAGCAGGGGAUCAACAUAUUAAAAGAGACAUUAGGAUAAAAAUUGGUUUGAUUGUAGACAACAAUUUAAAUUGAAGUAGAAAUAAAUCUAGGGUAAGAGAAAUUAGCUGUUACAAUAAAUUAGGCAUGAAAUAAAUGAGGAAUUUAGGUAAGUAUGGUAACAACCAGAAUUAUACCUUAUUAAAAUUUCAUCUAUCUGCUUAACUAGAAUCUGCUAAUGAUUGAAUAGAUUUUCUUAUAGCCAGGGUUACUUCGGAUGACUCCAAAGGGAAAUCCAGAGACUUCCCUGAUCAGCAACAUGAGGAGGCCCCCAACCUCCUUAAUCCUAUUUGGCCAGUUCCUCCAAUGCCCUUUUUAAGAAAAUGUGUAUCAUGGUUUUCCAUGCAGUCAGGAAACAUAAACUUUCUAGGAUGCAAUUUAGUCAUAAUGCUUAUAUCUAUUAGUUAUUGCUAUAUCACAAACCACUUCAAAAGUUAGGGUCUUAAAACAACCAUCAGCCGGGCGCCGUGGCUUGCUCCUGUAAUCCUGGGCCGAGGCAAGCAGAUCACUUGAGGUCAGGAGUUCGAGACCAGCUUGGCCAACGUGGUGAAACCACAUCUCUACUAAAAGUAUAAAAAUUAGCCAGGCAUGGUGGUGGGUGCCUGUAAUGCCAGCUACUCGAGAUGCUGAGGCAGGAGAAUCACUGGAACCCAGGAGCGGAGGUUGCAGUGAGCUGAGAUCGUGCCACAGCACUCCAGCCUCGGCGACAGAGCAAGGCUCUGUCUCAAAAAAAACAAAAACAACCAACCAACCAACCAACCAAACAAAAAACAAAACCGUUGUUUACUUAGCUCAUGAUUCUGAAGAUUUGACCAUUUGGGGUGGGAACAGCUGGGUUCUUCUGGUUCCUUCUGGGUCCUCUACUUGGCUACAGAUGGCUUUGUUGAUCUUGGCUGAGCUCUCUCAAAUGUCCUGGUGCCUUGGCUAGCUUAUUGAAGCCCAGGCUUAGCAUUAACAAGUGCCUUCCAUGGUAUUUAAUUGGACAAAGUAAGUCAAAGGCAGCCCAGAUUCAAGGAGUGCAUACAAGGAGGGGAAUAAUCGUAGGCAUUUUUGCAAACAAUCUGCUUCGGUGCUUAUCUUCAGACCUGAGAUAUGGUCAUGUUUGUGACAUUCCUUGGAAAGAAAAGCAUCCUAGAGACCUUUCUAGGAGUUACUGGUGAAGGAAGUAUUUAGAAGAUAAACUUUCAUUAAAUUCAUUGUAGCAGGAUCUGGGAAUUAGGAUCUCAAGGGGAAAUCCCAACUCUUGUUGUUUGCUUCCCGUAAGAAUAAGAAACAGCAGCAUUAUCAAGUGCUGUACUUUACUACAAAUAUUAACCGGCAACAAUUGACCCUCUCUGGGACUUUCCAUUUAGUUAUUUACUGGAAGCUGUUCUGUAAUUUUCAGCAGUGCUGUUAUCUAUGAGAUUACUUUUCUUUUAGCUGUGCUGGGUUUUCAGACGCAUUAAUAUAGCUUAAUAUCUCUUCCUGUUGCUUCUCUAAUUAAAAGCUUGUUGGAUUUCCAAAUAAGAAAUAACAUACACAAGCACUGGUAAUUCAGGCUGCUAAUAAUUGGGAGAAAAACUUCAGCAAGGAACAGCAUCAACCAGGCAUGAGGGAUCUUAUGAUCCGGCAAAGAAAGAGGCCUAGGAGUCUGGGGAGGAUUGCAGGGCAGUGAUCUGGCUCUGAGCAGCUGGCCUCCCUGAGAGGGGCUGCUGCCGAUGAAGGACCGCCAACAGACAGCCUGAGUAUAGUGCAUGUGCCCUGUCCCAAGAUGGAUGUUUGAAUCCUGGAUCCAAGAGAAGAGCUCAUGUCUGUUUUUCCAAUCACUGCUUGUAUCCUUUCCUGCUUCCCCAAGUCCCUCAUUCCUCUCCUCCCGGCGGCUUUUGCCCUCUUUGGUCCAGGCCGCAGGAAACCGUUCCUCUAGUUCUAACAAUCGGCCACUAGAUGGCACUAGAUGUUCGGAUUAAAGUGCCUUCCUGAGCUCCACGGGCCCAGGGCGAGGGCAGGCAGGGUCUGAAGACAGCUUCUCUCGGCCACCGUCAUUCUCUCUCCCACUUCGCUCUUCACUUCUCAUCCCUUCCUCAUCCCAUUUAAACAUUAGAUUCCUUCCAGCAGCGGUGUUUGCGUGAUUUCAAAGGUAGGGAAACCGUGUGUUUCGUAUGGUGGGGUGCCGGUGGAAGAAAGGGAGUUUGUGGGUUCCACAAGAACCUUAGGUGCCCGCUAAGGACACAGAUCGAACUCCAGGCAAGAAAGGCACAGCGACUGCUUCCCUCUCUCGCGCCAUGAGCACUGGCCUCUCUUAAGCAACCCCGCUGAGCUGUUGAAUAGACCCCUCACACUGUUACUUCAAAAACUGAAUUCUUGGUUGGGCGCGGUGGCUCAUGCCACCCAGCACUUUGGGAGGCCGAAGCGGGUGGAUCACUUGAG
rnacentral:lncRNA from 1 species